CUAAAUUCUUCGAACUUCCUCCUUGAACUUUAAGGCUUAAAGGGAUUUGUUUUCUGUAUUAGCUGUCUGAUGGCUGUAAUUGGGUUUUACUUAACCUCUGAACAUCCUAAUCUGAAGCUUCUUCUAGACCCGAACUUCCAGUUACCAACUCAUUUAUUCAUUUCACUCUUUUUCAGAACCCAUGAACCAGAAGCUACUUGUCAUCAUUCACUAAACAAAUCGUUAUUGAGCACUGUACCUUGAGCUAGCGCGCGACUAGUAGGAUGGGGGGCGGGGGGAGGAGAUAAAAAGACGAUUAAGACAUGGCGGCUGCCCUCAAAACUCACAAGGAUGAGAGACACGAGCUGGAAGGGUCCUUGGAGAGCAUCGAGCCCAGCUCUCUCCUCUUACCAAUAAGGAUAUAGGCCUAGAGGCUGCCUCUGCUUCUGUUCUUUUCUCCCCUGUCCAUUCUCCACACUGUAUUUGGCAUCACAUCACUCCCUGCUUAUCACACUUCCCUCGGGUGAACGACUGACCACAAGAUCAAGUCACGACUUCUUAAUUCAAGCCCAUCCCAGUCUGUUCAGCCUUCAGAGCCAAGUGCAAAUGCCACCUCUUCAAUCAUGCUUUUCCUGGCUGCCCCAGCUUCUUUCUCACCUUGGGCAGGAUCAUCCCUGUUCUGCAAUGAGGCCCCUAUUUGGAGGAGCCUCAUUGCAAAAGGACCUGCCAGGAGGGGGCAGUGCAGAACCGAAGAAAGGUCUCCCAAAAGGUCAAGGUCAUCAGGGUGCCUGGGGCCCAUCACAAGCCAUUUGGUGCACACCCCUUAAUCUCCAGUGAGGAUGCUUGUGGGAAUAUGGGGUUCCACCCCAGUGUCAUGACCUUUGGCAAGCCUCACCUCUCCCUGAGCCUUAGUUUGCAUCUUUGUAAAACCAGAGAAUUGGACCAGUUCAGAGUUUCUGGAAGUAUGGUGAUGCACAAAGUGACAUCA